CCGAAUAGGGGAGCCGGAGGGAAACCGAGUCUUAAUUGGGCGUUAAGUUGCAGGGUAUAGACCCGAAACCCGGUGAUCUAGCCAUGGGCAGGUUGAAGGUUGGGUAACACUAACUGGAGGACCGAACCGACUAAUGUUGAAAAAUUAGCGGAUGACCUGUGGCUGGGGGUGAAAGGCCAAUCAAACCGGGAGAUAGCUGGUUCUCCCCGAAAGCUAUUUAGGUAGCGCCUCGUGAAUUCAUCUCCGGGGGUAGAGCACUGUUUCGGCUAGGGGGCCAUCCCGGCUUACCAACCCGAUGCAAACUGCGAAUACCGGAGAAUGUUAUCACGGGAGACACACGGCGGGUGCUAACGUCCGUCGUGAAGAGGGAAACAACCCAGACCGCCAGCUAAGGUCCCAAAGUCAUGGUUAAGUGGGAAACGAUGUGGGAAGGCCCAGACAGCCAGGAUGUUGGCUUAGAAGCAGCCAUCAUUUAAAGAAAGCGUAAUAGCUCACUGGUCGAGUCGGCCUGCGCGGAAGAUGUAACGGGGCUAAACCAUGCACCGAAGCUGCGGCAGCGAACGUAUCACUUAAAGCGAUUCAGCGGGUUACGAUUGACGGAGCGAAGCGACGUCAAAGCGUAUACAAAGUCGAGUCGGUUUAAGGAUACGUUCGUUGGGUAGGGGAGCGUUCUGUAAGCCUGUGAAGGUGGCCUGUGAGGGUUGCUGGAGGUAUCAGAAGUGCGAAUGCUGACAUAAGUAACGAUAAAGCGGGUGAAAAGCCCGCUCGCCGGAAGACCAAGGGUUCCUGUCCAACGUUAAUCGGGGCAGGGUGAGUCGACCCCUAAGGCGAGGCCGAAAGGCGUAGUCGAUGGGAAACGGGUUAAUAUUCCCGUACUUGGUGUUACUGCGAAGGGGGGACGGAGAAGGCUAUGUUGGCCGGGCGACGGUUGUCCCGGUUUAAGCGUGUAGGCUGGUUUUCCAGGCAAAUCCGGAAAAUCAAGGCUGAGGCGUGA
rnacentral:rRNA from 1 species